AAUCUGCUCCUCAGCACAGCACGGUGGCUGGCCGGCCCCCCGUAGGAAGGCUUGGGGUUAAAAUCGACUUAGGAUGCCGCCCUUAUAAUAACUGGGAGAUGAAACAGGAAGCUCUAUGACACACUUGAUCGAAUAUGACAGACACCGAAAAUCACGACUCAGCCCCCUCCAGCACCUCUACCUGUUGCCCGCCGAUCACAGCCGGAAUGCAGCUGAAAGAUUCCCUGGGGCCUGGUUCCAACCGCCCACUGUGGACUCUGAGGCCUCUGCAUUUGCGGGUGGUCUGCCUGUGAUAUUUUGGUCAUGGGCUGGUCUGGUCGGUUUCCCAUUUGUCUGGCCAGUCUCUAUGUGUCUUAAUCCCUUGUCCUUCAUUAAAAGCAAAACUAAAGAAAACAGAAUUGUUUGCUUAUUAGCUAUCUUUAAACGCUGUUUGAAAGGAUAUCGAAUAGUGUUUGAGGGAACCCUGGCACGUCCACACAGCUCAUCUGACAUGUUUAAAUGUGUGUUGGGCUUGACUCUCUCAUAACUCAGCCACGCUUGCCUUGCUGCUUCUCAUACCUCUCCAGAUUGCUGUAGAGUCAGUGUGGGCAGACUGACAUUUGAGAGAAACGUCGGGCUUCAUCUGGAAGCCUCUUUCCACACCCACCCUGAUCGUGGCCUGUAAACUGUGGCCCCAAGAUCUCCAUUAACCUUGGGCUUUCCACUAGAGACAUCUGCCAUCUCUGCUGCCUCCCUCCCCUCACACAUCCUUUACUGCUUCACUUAUUCAUCCCAUAAGGAUUUCUUAGGGGCCUGCUGUGUGCUGGUUCUGGAGACAAAACAGUGGAUGGGACCAACUCAGCCCCGGUCCCCACCCAGCACCUCUAGCCAAGUCUGAGUGGGCUCUGCUGAAGAAGUGUUGGGUGCAGUGCACAGUUCAUCAUGGUCGAUGGCUCCAUCCCAUUUCACUUAGAUGCCCCGAUUUCCUAAAUGCUUUCUUGAACUCUGACACUCUGGGACUGGCACCUGAACAGUCUAUAAAACGGUGAAAUGUCGAAGCAUUCCUGCUGUGUAAUCCCACUCUCUUCCCCAACCUCAAGCAGGACAAUUUGACCCCCUCCUGAGGACAUGGCCAGACAGGCCAUUAGUAGAAGCCUUCCAGAACUUUCUGGCAAUCUUCACUUUUAAGCUUAGCAAACAUCUAAGAAUAAUUUUAAAUGGCCAUGUUUACUCUUUUGUACUUGUUGGAAUUAGUUUACCAAUAGGCCAUGAUGGUGAUCACAAAACCCCCUAUGUACAUGCACAGUGUUCAUUGCAAUGCAUAUCCAGGUCUCAACCCAAUGUCCCUUUCUCAAGGAGAAUUCCCUGAGCACCAUGUCGUGAGAGAACCCUCCUUCCUCCCCACCAUUUCUCUCUAUCUUGUGAUUUUAUUUUAUUUUAUUCAUAGACUUAUCAUUAUCAGCACUUAUCCUGAAUGUUCAAUUAUCAUCUGUCUGUCUCUCACUCCACUCCCAAAAGGCAGACUGUGGUCUGUCUUAUUUCCCGGUCUGUCCCCAGCGUUUGAGAUCCGAGC
rnacentral:lncRNA from 1 species